rnacentral:lncRNA from 1 species
GUGGGAGUUGUCUCACGAUAAUGUAGUAGCACGGAUCAAUUAAUCUCCUCGUGGGAGUUGUCUCUGGGGUAAUAGAAUUGAUCGAGUUAUCUCCUCGUGGGAGUUGUCUCGCGAUAAUGUAGUAGCACGGAGCUAGUAUUCUCCUCGUGGGAGUUGUUUUUUAUCGACAUUGUCAAUGUUUUGACGCGUUGCUUGUAUGUGUUUACAUAUAGCCUUGUGCGUGACGUACUUGAAGAGGGGAUCAGGCUCUCAAGAUUUUUUUUUUUUUUAUGGGGAUCGUGCCCCUUGUUAGACCUCGUGGGUCGUAAGUAUGUUUGGACCGUGGCCACGUUUUAAUGAAGGACCCAUCGAAAACAAGUAGAUAAAUUUGAGUAAUCAAGCUGGCCAGGCUAUAUAGA